ACGGGUGAGUAACGCGUGGGUAACCUGCCUUGUACUGGGGGACAACAGUUAGAAAUGACUGCUAAUACCGCAUAAGCGCACAGUAUCGCAUGAUACAGUGUGAAAAACUCCGGUGGUACAAGAUGGACCCGCGUCUGAUUAGCUAGUUGGUAAGGUAACGGCUUACCAAGGCGACGAUCAGUAGCCGACCUGAGAGGGUGAUCGGCCACAUUGGGACUGAGACACGGCCCAGACUCCUACGGGAGGCAGCAUG
rnacentral:rRNA from 1 species